CGGUCACUGCUAGCCAAAACAAGACUUCAUAGGUGCAUAUCAGCGCCAUCGACUGACCAGAGUCUCGGGCUCGGCAUUCUGGCGCCACCGAACAUGUCGACCAACGCAGCGUGGGUGGGGUGCAGCUUCCGAGCGACGCCGAGCGGGCCACUUGGCACAGAGGAGCUGACCCCCCUGACACCCCGCUGAGAAACAGGGGCCCGCUUCCUCGGCCUUCGGACCGGGUGCUAACGGAUGAUGGAGACAAGUGGAGACCUCGAAGUCGCCAUCGACUGACCAGAGUCUCGGGCUCGGCAUUCUGGCGCCACCGAACAUGUCGACCAACGCAGCGUGGGUGGGGUGCAGCUUCCGAGCGACGCCGAGCGGGCCACUUGGCACAGCGGGAGCUGACCCCCCUGACACCCCGCUGAGAAACAGGGGCCCGCUUCCUCGGCCUUCGGACCGGGUACUAACGGACGAUGGAGACAACUAGAGACGUUUGGGUCUCUGCGUAUGAUCGGGAGAGCUGCCUGUUCCUGCGUUCUUCUGGGAAACGGGACGAGAGGGAUGCUCUGACCGGGGUGUGACCACGUGGGAGGUCCGUGUCCCAGGAGACUGCAGAGACGUCCCGUGGUGACGAAAGUUACGCCCAUUGGAGGUGCGUCAGCCUGUGACCAACUGGGAAAGCAGAUGCAGCUCGCCUCAAAGAAUUGCAUCAUUAACAUGCACGAGCUGCUUCAAAGCCCGAGACUGAAGACAAAUAAACGAGCCUGCGGGUGGAAUGCAUGUUCACAAUUUCUCGAAGUU